GGGCUUGUGGUUUAGUGGUAUAAUACUCGCUUAGCAUCUCAUCCCAUCUCUUCUCUCGAUUAGAGGAUUGGGAAUGUUAUGAACUGUGAGUGGUCCGGGGUUCGAUUCCCCGCGAGUCCA